CUUACGUCGUAGAGAUGUAGGAGUCGCCAGAAACACGUAGCCAGGCGUCUGCUUCAUCUCAACUCAAUCUGACGGACAUUGACGCGGUGAGCGUAGAACUCAGUAGAUAGAAUAUUUAAAUUGUUUCUUUACUGUGUGUGUACGAACAAGUGCCGGGUGUGUGUGCAGGUACAGUACGUUCACAAUACCAAGGGCAGACACAGGGAAAACUGAGCGACUGCGCAAGAACGAGUGCACGUGCUGUUUUGUUUACAAUAAUUGUUACAUCAUGAGAACGUUGGCAGAACAACAUUUUACUAUCUUAAAAUAUUAUUUGUUUAGCAGACGCCUUUAUCCAAGGCGACUUACAGGUGUUACAGCGCAAUACAAGGUUACAAUGCAAAAACAAUAUUUAAAUACAGUAUAGUUUACAGUAAGUGCAAAUACUACUAUAAUACAAAAUGAGAUAAGAUGUAACAAGUUAGGUUUACAACAAUUUGUGUCUACAAUGACAUACUCAUAGUGCAAGGAUAGUGCAUCAGCUGAGAAUCCAGUAACUUGGAUAGGCAGGCGAGUCCAGUGCAUAGUAGGAGGGGUAGAUCAAGAUAUGCAAGCACAGUCUAAACAGGUGAUAUUUAAUAUUAAUUAAUGCUGCAGACUCAAUCUUGUUAUCUAGUUUAAUUUUACAUUAAAAUAUGAUUCACCAUAUUCUUGGAAAAUCAAGCAUCAUGUGCAAUCGAAAUGCCCAUUCUGAUGACCUUUGACUUGAUUUUUCUCCAUCUGGGUGAUGACUGUCCAAAACAAAUAAUAUUCGUAACAUUUUAAGGUUGGGUUUUCCAGCAGAAAAAAAUAUUAUUGUGAGGGGUUGAGCAAAUCUCCUUGGUCCAUUUCAGCUGAAAUGACCAUACUGCUGUGGAAAUGUACCAUGGUUAGAUAUUGCUUCCUACCUUUCUGGAAAAGCCCUGAUCUUAAGAGACACCCUUCACCCUGCCCUGCACCUGUUUUCCAGCUUGAAGAUGAGGAUGAGCCCUUUGUUCUGGAGGACACAGUGAGGAGGACACAGGGCAGCAGUGUGGAGUAGUGCUUAGGGCUCUGGACUCUUGACCGGAGGGUCGUGGGUUCAAUCCCAGGUGGGGGACACUGCUGCUGUACCCUUGAGCAAGGUACUUUACCUAGAUAGCUCCAGUAAAAACCCAACUGUAUAAAUGGGUAAUUGUAUGUAAAAAUAAUGUGAUAUCUUGUAACAAUUGUAAGUCGCCAUGGAUAAGGGUGUCAGCAAAGAAAAUAAUAAUAAUGAUAAUGAACAUCAAGAGCCUCGACACACACUCCUGUGAGACCUCCUCCCUAGCCAGCUCGGACAGCGGAGACCACACACAUUUGAAAAGAAGAAAGGGAUUAGCUGAGAGCAGCUCCACGUGGCUCAGUCCUCCAUCACAGCAUCCUGAAAGGAAUCUCUGCGCAGAUUGUAUCUGCAGCCGUGAGCAUCAAAGAGACGCCCAGUCCAUAUAGAGUUGUAGAUUGUUUAUAUAUGUCUCGACACUAGCUAUUUGCAACGACAGUGGAGGAUCUGUGUUCAAGUUCACCUUCAGGUAAGACCUUGCAUACGGCUUAUAUACAACAAACAAGUUAAGCUUGUUCAAAUACUCUCCCGCAGUGUUCUUAGGGUCUGGGACCGCAUGUGCACCCAAAGCAUUCAGUCUGGCUAACAGGCAUAACAUUGAAUGAAACUGAACUUGUGACCAGGUCAGACAUUAUUACAUUCAUAUUGGCAACAUUACAAAUGUGAAUUUUCUGAACUAUUUAUUUAAUCAGGUUUCCAUGUUAAGUGGUGGGAGAUUUGAAUAGGCUUGCUAAUGUAGCAAAUUAUAAAUGUAUCACAC